rnacentral:rRNA from 1 species
CCUGCCCGGUGACCGAUGUUAAACGGCCGCGGUAUCCUAACCGUGCAAAGGUAGCGCAAUCAAUUGUCCCGUAAAUCGGGACUAGUAUGAAUGGCUAAACGAGGUCUUAACUGUCUCUUACAGGCGAUCGGUGAAAUUGAUCUCCCUGUGCAAAAGCAGGGAUAGCCACAUAAGACGAGAAGACCCUGUGGAGCUUUAAAAUCAGCAACCACCCCUAAAUACACUCACACCCAUCUCGGGCGCACUAUCCACGGGCGCUGGUUCGCAUUUUUUCGGUUGGGGCGACCUUGGAGCAAAACAAAACCUCCAAAUAUUAGACCAUCCCUCUAGACUAAGAGCAACCCCUCAACGUGCUAAUAGCACCCAGACCCAAUACAAUUGAUCAAUGAACCAAGUUACCCCAGGGAUAACAGCGCAAUCUCCUUCGAGAGUCCAUAUCGACGAGGAGGUUUACGACCUCGAUGUUGGAUCAGGACAUCCUAGUGGUGCAGCCGCUGCUAAGGUUC